AUGUUUUCUGCUUAUCUGUUUCUGUAUUUUAUUUAUUUCCACAGGCUUGAAACAAAGUGUGUAAAUUUUCCAUGGUCUGGUGGCAAAUUUACUAUCAGCUCUGCGGGAAGUGAUUUUCAAAUAUUCAUUAGAAUAAACAAAGUAACAAAAUUUCUAAAUAUGACGUGUGGCAUUUAUAGUAUGAAGUUAAGAACAAAAAUUAAAAAUGCUUCUGUUUGACGACUACUAUUUGCACUUCCCUUCUGCUGAGGUCACUCUCCAUGGCUUUGAGGUCUGCUUUCCAAGGUAAAAAGGAUCUUUGUUUCUUUCUAAAGUGUUGGUAGUGGUUGUCUCCAUUCAGCACUUCGUUUUAUUAUUUUUUAACUGCCAAAUAAAUAAACAAUGACAGUGUAGCAGUCCAUACUAGAAAUUAUUCCAUGUAUGCGAAUAAAAACUUUCUGUGAGAAUUUUUAAAAAGCUGUUUUGAGAUCUCUUUAUACAUGUGACAGUACACCACACUCAGAUGGAUAUCUUCACCUUCGGUUUGUUAUUGCUGUGGUCUCCUUUUAAUCCCUUCAGCAUCCUGCUGAAAUCAAGUUUAUAAACAGAAGUUUGAAAAUGGAUCAACACCUACACUGUCAAAUAUCUAAGCCAACAGUUUAAAUCCUUUAGUUUAUUCCAUUUUCUAAAUCUUUAAAUUCCUUUGUAUCUCUAUAUCUUACAAAAGUAGUUCCACAAAUAUGUUAGUUAUGAGGCUUUCUCCAAACUGUUUUUAAAGAAAAGCAAAUUAUAGCAUCAGAAAUUAUAGGCAACUAGAGCUACUUUUCCAGGCAAAGUGAAGAUGAAUGGCAACUUCUUCCUAUUAAAAAAUAAUUGAUGUAUGCUCUCUGACUUAGCUAUCCAAGUAAAUCUUAUAUAAUGUAAAUUUCCCUCUAAUUUUCUCUCUCUUGUAAAAAGUAUGACAAGGAAAAAUAUUUGACAUAUAUCUAUUUCAAGUGUUCCUUAUUUGCUAUUUGUAUGUUAUCAUUUUUAAAGGAUUGGGUCAUAGGAAUUGAAUUUGUAUAAUCUUAUCUUUAUAUAACCAUUUCAUAGAGACUC
rnacentral:lncRNA from 1 species